AAGACCUUGCACUUUUGGAGCGGCCGAUGUCUGAUUAGCUAGUUGGUGGGGUAAUGGCCUACCAAAGCUUCGAUCAGUAGCUGGUCUGAGAGGACGGCCAGCCACACUGGGACUGAGACACGGCCCAGACUCCUACGGGAGGCAGCAGUGGGGAAUUUUGGACAAUGGGCGCAAGCCUGAUCCAGCCAUGCCGCGUGAGUGAAGAAGGCCUUCGGGCUGUAAAGCUCUUUCAGCCGGGAAGAAAAGGUUGCGACUAAUAAUCGCAAUCCAUGACGGUACCGAAAGAAGAGGCACCGGCUAACUACGUGCCAGCAGCCGCGGUAAUACGUAGGGUGCGAGCGUUAAUCGGAAUUACUGGGCGUAAAGGGUGCGCAGGCGGUUUUGUAAGUCAGAUGUGAAAUCCCCGGGCUUAACCUGGGAACU
rnacentral:rRNA from 1 species